AUGUGUUUUUCUUCUCACGGCAGCUCAGGCAGCGUCAUUGCACGUUUUACAACAACUAUUGUGUCAGCUAUCGACCCACAGAAGCUGAUCGAUAUAUCACAGAGUCUGAAUGCCAGUAUGCAGUUGGAAACUAGAGGUAUUGUCAAUUUAGUCCCACCAAAUGGUUUUGUACCUUACAACGGUGAAGCCACCUUCAUAUGUGAAACCAAAGUGGACCUGGGUGGUGAACCAAAGUGGACACUGAGAAAACCAGAUAACACUGAAUUUGAAAUAACUACUGGCACACAAGCAAAGCUGACAGGAAAGGACAGAAAGAUAUACUUUGCCAGUCUCACACAUGUUACUGAACUCUGGGCAGGAGAGUACCUGUGUGAAUACAGUCAAAAAAAAGACAAAAUCAACAUUACUCACAUCGCUAACGCUACAAUUGACAUCUCCCUGCUGCCAAAAAUUGAAGCCUACACAAAGCCGUCAUUCCCACGCUGUACAACAGCGACAGCUUUACUGAGAGUAAAAGCUGUAUGUGAGAUACAGAAGAGCACAGAACCAUACACUGUGGAGUGGAAUUGCACUGGGUGCACACCACAAAAGUCAUCUAGUGAGUCCAAUUUCUCUGGUUCAUCCUAAUUUAAAAAUGUAAAUGAGUUUGAUCACAUCAUUUCUGUUUCUUGCAGAUGCGGAUUAUCAAUUUUAUGAAGCUGAACAAUUCAUCAGCUGUGAUAAGAAAAACGUAUUUGCCUGCAAAUUUUCGAACAGGGCUAAUCAAAGCGAGACAAAAGAAGUUAACAUCAAUAUCAUAACGUGUAUGUUUGAUUAUUCCUUUAUUUAAUGUCAAAAUGUUAAAUGUCCACUUUACAUUUAGUAGUAAAAUAUAUGUAUUUCUGCCAUUCUGCCAUAACUGCCGUAAUUCUUUUCCAAAACAGUCCAAGAAAAGUAUUGUGCAGCUGCAGGAGGAUGGGAAGACACCAAACCUGGUUUCACUGCAACAUUAAAAUGCACAAACAUGGCAGGACUGAGAAGAAGACGUUGCAGGUGAGACUGAGCAAUUUUCAUUAUCAAUUCCAUCAUCAUCAUUCCAUAAAUUCGAUAUUUCCUAUUGUAUAAUUGGACAGUUCAGGUAUUGUUUUUUUUU
ensembl:lncRNA